rnacentral:rRNA from 1 species
GUCGAUUUUGGCACCCCUGGGGACUGAGGGCUCCCCUUUUGGGUGAGGACAGCGGAGUGACGACGCAAUACGACCCGUCUUGAAACACGGACCAAGGAGUCUAGCGCGGGUGCGAGUCAAAGGGUGCAAGCCCGUGGGCGAAGUGAAAGCGAGUUUAAAAACUAGCAGUUUGGGGCGGCAUAAGAUCGUUGAUCUUAAGACUGACCCAGAGCAGUUGCGCUGGGACCCGAAAGGUGGUGAACUAUGCCUGAGUAGGGCAAAGCCAGAGGAAACUCUGGUGGAGGCUCGUAGCGGUGCUGACGUGCAAAUCGCUCGUCGAACUUGGGUAUAGGGGCGAAAGACUAAUCGAACCAUCUAGUAGCUGGUUCCCUCCGAAGUUUCUCUCAGGAUAGCGGGCCGACAAGUUGUUUUGUGCGGUAAAGCGAAUGAUUAGCGCAUUUGGGGGCGUUUAGCCUUCAGGCGAUUCUCAAACUUUCAAUGCGCAAGGGUGCCGCUGCUUAAUUGAGCGGUACCGGUAAAAACGUCGACCCAGUGGGCCACUUUUGGUAAGCAGAACUGGCGAUACGGGAUGAACCGUAAGCAAGGUUAAGGCGCCAAACUGCCCGCUUAUAGACCCCACAAAAGGUGUUGAUUCAUCGAGACAGCAGGACGGUGGCCAUGGAAGUCGGAAUCCGCCAAGGAGUGUGUAACAACUCACCUGCCGAAUGAAUUAGCCCUGAAAAUGGAUGGCGCUGAAGCGGGCGGCCGACACCUUGCCGUUUGAACAAGAAUUUCAGAUGAGUAGGAGGACGUGGUG